AGUGAACGCUGGCGGUAGGCCUAACACAUGCAAGUCGAACGGCAGCACAGUAAGAGCUUGCUCUUACGGGUGGCGAGUGGCGGACGGGUGAGGAAUACAUCGGAAUCUACUUUUUCGUGGGGGAUAACGUAGGGAAACUUACGCUAAUACCGCAUACGACCUACGGGUGAAAGCAGGGGAUCUUCGGACCUUGCGCGAUUGAAUGAGCCGAUGUCGGAUUAGCUAGUUGGCGGGGUAAAGGCCCACCAAGGCGACGAUCCGUAGCUGGUCUGAGAGGAUGAUCAGCCACACUGGAACUGAGACACGGUCCAGACUCCUACGGGAGGCAGCAGUAGGGAAUAUUGGACAAUGGGCGCAAGCCUGAUCCAGCCAUGCCGCGUGAGUGAAGAAGGCCUUCGGGUUGUAAAGCCCUUUUGUUGGGAAAGAAAAGCAGCAGGUUAAUACCCCGCUGUUCUGACGGUACCCAAAGAGUAAGCACCGGCUAACUUCGUG
rnacentral:rRNA from 1 species